rnacentral:rRNA from 1 species
ACCAGACUCCUACGGGAGGCAGCAGUGGGGGAUAUUGCACAAUGGGGGAAACCCUGAUGCAGCGACGCCGCGUGGGUGAAGAAGUAUUUCGGUAUGUAAAGCCCUAUCAGCAGGGAAGAAAGAAGACGGUACCUGACUAAGAAGCCCCGGCUAACUACGUGCCAGCGGCCGCGGUAAUACGUAGGGGGCGAGCGUUAUCCGGAUUCACUGGGUGUAAAGGGAGCGUAGACGGCCGUGCAAGCCAGGAGUGAAAGCCCGGGGCCCAACCCCGGGACUGCUCUUGGAACUGUGCAGCUCGAGUGCAGGAGAGGUAAGCGGAAUUCCUAGUGUAGCGGUGAAAUGCGUAGAUAUUAGGAGGAACACCAGUGGCGAAGGCGGCUUACUGGACUGUAACUGACGUUGAGGCUCGAAAGCGCGGGGAGCAAACAGGAUUAGAUACCCUCGUAGAC